GGUACCUAUCACUUUUUAACGAUUUAUAAUAAGUUCAAAACAAAACUAAUUAUAUGUUUGUUUACCUACUAACAGGAAGAUAACUAUUUCAAAAGUAUAAAGGAGGGGUGGUAUAUGCAAAAUAUUAUAAUGAGUGUUAUUGAAAAUACUUCGGACUAUUUGAUAAAUUUGAAUGCAAUUCAAGAAGACGCGUUAUUAAGUUUCGAAUCAUGCCUUAAUUCUAUUUCUGAGAGAGUUUUACAUUUACUGCAUCAGGACUCUUUAGGAUUACAUUUAAAUUCCAAAGAAAAUCAGCUCAGCAAGAAUGAAGAAGAUUUACACAGUCUAAUUGAAAUCAAUCAGAAACUAAGGCACGAUAUUGAGUUUAAGAUCAAAGAUUUAAAAAUUCAACAAACACAGUAUGACAAUUUCAAACAAGAACAGAAAAUAUUAUCAAAUGAAAUCAAAGAAACUCAUGAAGCAUAUUUGAGGGCAAAAAAGUAUUUAAAAAAACAUUUGAAAUUUUUCUUUACAAUAUCUGAAACCAAUGAUACUGCAGACCAAGUAAUUUUUGUACAGUUUUUCACUGAAGCUCGUAAGGAAUCUGAAUGUUAUUCAGUUAAACUCUCAAGAAAUAUUAAGUCUCAAAAGUAUACAUUGCUAAAUAUAAAUCCAGAAUUGAAGAUUUCUAAGGAUAUACAAAGACUCUUACAAGAGGAUAAUUGUGUUCCUGGAGUGUUGUCAUGUAUAAGAGAGGCAUUUAGAGUAUUGAAAGAUGACAAAGGAAAGUGACAAACUAGCAGAUAAUAAUAUGUAACCAUUAGAUAUUAAUAACAAUUAUGUAUUUUGGAUAAAAUAAUACUUAAAAAUAAAAGUCAAUAAAUAUAGUAUUGUAGCUA